GGAGUUUGAUCCUGGCUCAGGACGAACGCUGGCGGCGCGCCUAACACAUGCAAGUCGAACGAGCGAGAGAGAGCUUGCUUUCUCGAGCGAGUGGCGAACGGGUGAGUAACGCGUGAGGAACCUGCCUCAAAGAGGGGGACAACAGUUGGAAACGACUGCUAAUACCGCAUAAGCCCACGGUGCCGCAUGGCACAGAGGGAAAAGGAGCAAUCCGCUUUGAGAUGGCCUCGCGUCCGAUUAGCUAGUUGGUGAGGUAACGGCCCACCAAGGCGACGAUCGGUAGCCGGACUGAGAGGUUGAACGGCCACAUUGGGACUGAGACACGGCCCAGACUCCUACGGGAGGCAGCAGUGGGGAAUAUUGCACAAUGGGGGAAACCCUGAUGCAGCGACGCCGCGUGGAGGAAGAAGGUCUUCGGAUUGUAAACUCCUGUUGUUGGGGAAGAUAAUGACGGUACCCAACAAGGAAGUGACGGCUAACUACGUGCCAGCAGCCGCGGUAAAACGUAGGUCACAAGCGUUGUCCGGAAUUACUGGGUGUAAAGGGAGCGCAGGCGGGAAGACAAGUUGGAAGUGAAAUCUAUGGGCUCAACCCAUAAACUGCUUUCAAAACUGUUUUUCUUGAGUAGUGCAGAGGUAGGCGGAAUUCCCGGUGUAGCGGUGGAAUGCGUAGAUAUCGGGAGGAACACCAGUGGCGAAGGCGGCCUACUGGGCACCAACUGACGCUGAGGCUCGAAAGUGUGGGUAGCAAACAGGAUUAGAUACCCUGGUAGUCCACACCGUAAACGAUGAUUACUAGGUGUUGGAGGAUUGACCCCUUCAGUGCCGCAGUUAACACAAUAAGUAAUCCACCUGGGGAGUACGACCGCAAGGUUGAAACUCAAAGGAAUUGACGGGGGCCCCACAAGCAGUGGAGUAUGUGGUUUAAUUCGACGCACCGCGAAGAACCUUACCAAGUCUUGACAUCCCUUGACAGACUUAGAAAUAUGUUUUCCUUUCGAACAAGGAACAAGGGGGGGCAUGGUUGUCGCCACCUCCUGGCCGGGAAAAUUUGGGGUUAAUUCUCCCAACAAGGCGAACCCUUAUGGUGGGUUUCUUCCCAAAAGGACUCUGGCCCAAUUGCCUUGAAAAACAGAAGAAGGGGGGGGGUGGGGGCAAAACACCACGGCCUUUUUGAUUUGGGCUACACACGUACUACAAUGGCGUUAAACAAAGAGAAGCAAGACCGCGAGGUGGAGCAAAACUCAGAAACAACGUCCCAGUUCGGACUGCAGGCUGCAACUCGCCUGCACGAAGUCGGAAUUGCUAGUAAUCGUGGAUCAGCAUGCCACGGUGAAUACGUUCCCGGGCCUUGUACACACCGCCCGUC
rnacentral:rRNA from 1 species